CUGGUGCUCUCAUAUGUAACAGCAACUCCAUGUGGACUACGCUUACUUCCAGUGGAGAUGCUGUUACUUUUGAUAGACACUCA
rnacentral:pre_miRNA from 1 species